rnacentral:rRNA from 1 species
AGCGGCGAACGGGUGAGUAACACGUAGGUGAUCUGCCCAUCAGACGGGGACAACGAUUGGAAACGAUCGCUAAUACCGGAUAGGACGAAAGUUUAAAGGUGCUUCUGGCACCGCUGAUGGAUGAGCCUGCGGCGCAUUAGCUAGUUGGUAGGGUAAAGGCCUACCAAGGCGACGAUGCGUAGCCGACCUGAGAGGGUGAACGGCCACACUGGGACUGAGACACGGCCCAGACUCCUACGGGAGGCAGCAGUAGGGAAUCUUCGGCAAUGGGCGAAAGCCUGACCGAGCAACGCCGCGUGAAUGAUGAAGGCCUUCGGGUUGUAAAAUUCUGUUAUAAGGGAAGAACGACAUUAGUAGGAAAUGGCUAGAGUGUGACGGUACCUUAUGAGAAAGCCACGGCUAACUACGUGCCAGCAGCCGCGGUAAUACGUAGGUGGCGAGCGUUAUCCGGAAUUAUUGGGCGUAAAGAGCGCGCAGGUGGUUGAUUAAGUCUGAUGUGAAAGCCCACGGCUUAACCGUGGAGGGUCAUUGGAAACUGGUCGGCUUGAGUGCAGAAGAGGGAAGUGGAAUUCCAUGUGUAGCGGUGAAAUGCGUAGAGAUACGGAGGAACACCAGUGGCGAAGGCGGCUUCCUGGUCUGUAACUGACACUGAGGCGCGAAAGCGUCGGGGAGCAAACAGGAUUAGAUACCCUGGUAGUCCACGCCGUAAACGAUGAGUGCUAAGUGU